CGUUGCUCGGAAUUACUGGGCGUAAAGCGCACGUAGGCGGUUUCUUAAUGCGGUGGUGAAAUCCUGGAGCUCAACUCCAGAACUGCCUUCGAUACUGGGAAUCUAGAGUCCGGAAGAGGUGAGUGGAACUGCGAGUGUAGAGGUGAAAUUCGUAGAUAUUCGCAAGAACACCAGUGGCGAAGGCGGCUCACUGGUCCGGUACUGACGCUGAGGUGCGAAAGCGUGGGGAGCAAACAGG
rnacentral:rRNA from 1 species